AUCGUGAGGUAUGGGGUGAAAGAAGUGGCUAGCAGUCGACUGGGUGACGAACAGAAACUUGAUAUUAAGGCCAUUUAUAAGGGGUGUGUGUACUGAACAACAUCAAACCCAAACGGAACGUAAGUUAUAAGUGGUAAAUCAAGCACUCAAGGCGACAAAGA
rnacentral:ncRNA from 1 species